rnacentral:rRNA from 1 species
UACGUAGGGGGCAAGCGUUGUCCGGAAUCAUUGGGCGUAAAGAGCGUGUAGGCGGCCCGGUAAGUCCGCUGUGAAAGUCCAGGGCUCAACCCUGGGAUGCCGGUGGAUACUGUCGGGCUCGAGUCCGGAAGAGGAGUGUGGAAUUCCUGGUGUAGCGGUGAAAUGCGCAGAUAUCAGGAAGAACACCGACGGCGAAGGCAGCUCGCUGGGACGGUACUGACGCUGAGGCGCGAAAGCUAGGGGAGCAAACGGG